AACGAACGCUGGCGGCAUGCCUAACACAUGCAAGUCGAACGAGACCUUCGGGUCUAGUGGCGCACGGGUGCGUAACGCGUGGGAACCUGCCCUUAGGUUCGGAAUAACUCCCCGAAAGGGGUGCUAAUACCGGAUAAUGUCUUCGGACCAAAGAUUUAUCGCCUUUGGAUGGGCCCGCGUUGGAUUAGCUAGUUGGUAGGGUAAAAGCCUACCAAGGCGACGAUCCAUAGCUGGUCUGAGAGGAUGAUCAGCCACACUGGGACUGAGACACGGCCCAGACUCCUACGGGAGGCAGCAGUGGGGAAUAUUGGACAAUGGGCGAAAGCCUGAUCCAGCAAUGCCGCGUGAGUGAUGAAGGCCUUAGGGUUGUAAAGCUCUUUUACCCGGGAUGAUAAUGGCAGUACCGGGAGAAUAAGCUCCGGCUAACGCCGU
rnacentral:rRNA from 1 species